GAUGAACGCUAGCGGCAGGCCUAAUACAUGCAAGUCGAACGGGCUUAUGUUUUUCGGAAUAUGAGUUAGUGGCGCACGGGUGAGUAACACGUACAUAACCUACCUUCAAGAGGGGGAUAGCCUUGGGAAACUGAGAGUAAUACCCCAUAGUAUCAAGUUGCGGCAUCGUGAGUUGAUUAAAGCUGAGGUGCUUGAAGAUGGAUGUGCGUCUGAUUAGCUAGUUGGUGAGGUAACGGCUCACCAAGGCGACGAUCAGUAGCUGGUCUGAGAGGAUGGUCAGCCGGACUGGGACUGAGAUACGGCCCAGACUCCUACGGGGGGCAGCAAUUAGGAAUCUUGCGCAAUGGGCGAAAGCCUGACGCAGCGACGCCGCGUGACUGAUGAAGUCUUUCGGGAUGUAAAGGUCUUUUGUGGGGGACGAUAAUGACGGUACCCGAAGAAUAAGCUCCGGCUAACUUCGUGCCAGCAGCCG
rnacentral:rRNA from 1 species